UACGUAGGGCGCAAGCGUUAUCCGGAAUUAUUGGGCGUAAAGAGCUCGUAGGCGGUUUGUCGCGUCUGCCGUGAAAGUCCGGGGCUCAACUCCGGAUCUGCGGUGGGUACGGGCAGACUAGAGUGAUGUAGGGGAGACUGGAAUUCCUGGUGUAGCGGUGAAAUGCGCAGAUAUCAGGAGGAACACCGGUGGCGAAGGCGGCAUCCUGGACCAAUAUUGACGCUGAGGAGCGAAAGCCAGGGGAGCAAACGGG
rnacentral:rRNA from 1 species